GUGGGCCAUAGCCUUGGAGGAUGACUGCUCACAUGUAUGGGGGGGGGGGGGUGUAGAGAUAAAGGACGUUUCCAAAGGGAUUGACCCACCAGCAACAUCAGAGUGCCUGUUGAUGCACAUACGUGCUGAGCUCUCUUGCACACCUUUUUUAUUUUUUGAAAUUUAUUUAUUUAUUUAUUUUACUUAAAUUCGAUUAAUGAACAUAUGGCGUAUUCUUGGUUUCAGAGGUAGAGUUUAGGGAGUCGUCAGUCGCAUAGAACACCCAGGGCCGCCUCCUUCAUGCCCAUCACCCAGUGACCCGGCGGCCCUCCCAUGCAGCGACCCUCAGCUGGUUUGUCUCCAUCUCUGAUUUCAUCCUGUUUUAUUUUCCCCUCCCUUCGCCUGUGCUCCUCUGUUUUGUUCUUAAAUUGCACACGUGAGUGAGACCGUAUGAUAAUGGUCUUUGUCUGACGGGCUUCCUCCCCUCAGCAUCACGCCCUCCAGGGCCGUCCUCGGGGAAGCCCGCGGCGGGUGCCGUCCUUCCUGGCGGCUGAGUGAUGCCCGCUGUAUCCAUAGACACCUCCUCUUCAUCCAUCGUCUGUCGGGGGCACCGAGGCGCCUCCCACCGUGUGGCUGCUGUGGACACCGGGGCGCAGGUGCCCCUUCGCAUCAAUCCCACACGUGCAUCCUGGGGGCAAAUACCCCGUAGUCGUCACACCUUUCUCUCAGAGCUCUGCCGGCGUGAACACGGACAAAGGACACCCAAUGUCAUGUGCAUAACAGGCUGUUAAAACAAGAUUGUACCUGACUCAGCUUUGUGGUGACCCCCACAUUCCCGAGUGAGCCGUUGGGCCUUCUGGGCAGGAUGGAUUGAUGAUUGAUUGAUUGAUUUUUGAUUUUAUUUAUUUUAGAGAGAGAGCACGAGCAGGGGGCGAAGCAGGGGGGAAGAGCCUCAAGCAGGCUCUGCGAGGUGAGCGUGGACUCGAUCUCAGGACCCUGAGCCGAAACCAAGAGUCGGAGCUUAACUGACUGGGCCACUCAGGUGCCCCCCGGGCAGGAUUCAUAAAGGAGGCGGUAGGAACUGGCUGAGGACCCCAUGCAGGGUGUGGAUUUAGGGUCCUCUUACAUCCUGCUCACCAGGGCCCCACCGAGAAGCGGGAGCCAGGAGCUGGAGGAGCCGCAGAGAUGGGGGUGUCCAGGGCCUGAGGGAAGACUUGGGGCCCCAGGACGUAUUUUUGGUUGGGGCAGAGGAGGACAUACUUCAGCCCCUACCAGGUGCCAUGCGGGUCAGCCCUGGCAGGGGUCAGAGGCAGGGGCCGGGGAGGCCAGGGAAGAGCCAGGAGCUGCUGGAAGCACCAAGUGGGGCCGUGCAGCCCCUCUGCCGCCCUUCGCCCUUGGCUUCCACUGAGGCACCGCGGCCCCAGCAGGCCGGAGCCCGGAGACCAGCACCUUCACCUGCAGGUGGAUCCACGGUGGCGACUCUUAACACAGUAUCGGGCGCUUCGGGAGAACCUUAAGUGGGACCUACUAUUACCUCCGCUGAAGGGAUGAGGAAAUGGAGGCUCAGGGAAGCCAAGUGAUGGCCCACGGCCAGCCAGCUGGUAAGUAGCCGUGCCAGGGCCUGAACCCAGGUCUAGAUGGCUCCACGGCCCAUCCUUUUAAUUAAUGUCGACCGGCACUGUAUUCGAUCUCAUUGCUUUCGUCCCAGUGUUUGUCUUUUCAAAGUGUCGCCGGUUCUUGAAAGCCCAGCCGUCACUACCUCUCAGUGGUGACGCCUUCGCUGGUCUGCCCAGCGCCACGGUGCAGUCUCUUUUUUUCAACUUUUUAAUUUUUUUAACUCGGCUCCAUGCUGGGCUUGAACUCAUGACCCCGAGACCAAGACCCAAGCUGAGAUCAAGAGUCGGACGCUUAACGGACUGAGCCACCCAGGAGCCCCUCGUUUCUCAACUUUAGCAGGUGUUGCUUGGACCUGUUUUGCAAUCUCAGCACUUGCUGCUCUGUUUUGUUGUUACUGUGCUCCGUGAGCUCCUGGGUGGGGGGAACUUUGCACCCCCCUCCCCCAGCACCCAGCACGGGGCCGUUUUCAUUAUUUGCACAGGAAAGUGUAUGUGGACUGAACGAGCAAGCUCUGGACAAGACAGAAGAAAUGGAAGACUUGCCAGAUGGCUCCUUUCGCUGAGCUUCCCCUCCUUACGGAAAGGAGUAUGGGAAAACGCUCGACCGCUGCUGAGCACCGUGUGACCCGACAGCUUCUCCGGGGAUCCCUGGUGUCUACUUGGAAGAGCGGCAGGGAUGCCUGUGCAGGUUCAUUCCUGAAAAUCCUCCAAGGUGUGUGAAGGUGACUUCUAGUGGCACAGUCUCUGGGGUGUCUCACUUGGGGUGAGCAUGCGGGGAGGGCCGCGGUGACAGAUAACCUCCUGGUCUCUAUGAGCAGCCACUUCACCGAAGCUUACGCUCUACCUCACGCUCUCCGGUGAGGAUCCGCCAGGUGAAGUUGGCCUCUAGGCAAUGAAUUCACUUACUGUGACCCGGGUCUUUAAGGUGGUUUGACUUCAGGCAAGCAAUGGACCCGAGGUUCCCAGAAAUUGUAAAUUUUUUUUUAAACUAGGCUCCAAGCCCAGCAGGGAGCCCAGUGCAGGGCUGGAACUCCCCACCCUGAGAGCAAGACCCGAGCCGCCAUCGAGUCCGACGCUAAACCGACCGGAGCCACCCCGCCCAGAGAUUAUUUUAUUUGAUUUCUCUCUCCUUAUCUGGGGACAAAGCCGUUUCAAACACCCAGGGCUCUCAGGCAUUAUCUUUUAAAGUAAAUAAUUAGAAAAUGUGGGAUCAAUGAACUCUAUUAAAUAUUAAGUGUUGAAAAAAUAAAAAAUAAAAUAAAAAUUAUUAUUA